UUCGUGGGGGGGGGUUCCUCGGAGCAAACAUUAAAAGCCUAAUGCUAGGAGCGCUCGCCCUCGGCGCGCGGGCUGCGGGUGCGGCGGGCCGGGCUCCGCGGCCACGCGCGGAUACCUGCCGCUGGAGGGACGGCCAGCGGCUCCGCACACCGCCCUGCUGGCGACCGCGCCGGGGGCGUCUCACUGUUGUUUUGUCGGCUGAGUCCUUCUCAUGUGUCCUCUUAAUUGCGGGCUUGUAAAUCUGACGUGUCCUAACUAGCGAUCGCAAGAAGCGUAACUCCUGAUCUGGAUGCUGACUAAUGUGUAUCUUCACUGAUGUUUCUCAGCUUGAAUUACACUGAUGGAAGGAUGUACGUCUGUGCGGACACGGUCCCAGCACGCUCGCUGCAGGGAAGCCGGAGAGGCCAAGGCGCGUGCAGGGCUGCACUCGGCCACCUCGACUGCACACGCUGCCCCAACUUAGCACUUCUCUGCACAACACGACGUCUGCCUUGCAGCACCUGCAUCAAGGACCAGGAAAGCAGGUCCCGCCGCGACGUGUUUUCGAGAGUUUUGGAGGUCCCUCCAAAGCAGCGAUCUGCAGAGCAAGCACUCAAGCAGGCAGCCGGGAAGGCGGCAGCAGGGCAGGCGGGCUGCCGAGGCCGCGUGGCAUCGCCUGCAGCUGCUCCAAGCCGUUUCUGCUACCCGUCCAGCCCAUCACAGUGCGUCUCAAAUGGGGUUGUCUGUGACUACAACCAUCAGUGAAAAACGCUUUCAAGUUAAACACAGUGAAUUGCAAAAUAAAGCUGCAUCCUCUCCUCGCCCAAAAAGGACCGCUGACAGUCAGAGAGCAAGAAAUAUCCCAAAUACUUCGUUUGCACCCUGCGUUUCCUGAGGCACCACAGGCUACCAGGAUCGCCGUCCUCCGGAGGCCAGUCUGCCACGCUGAUCCCCAACGCAAGGCUUUGCUAGGGGAAGCAGAGGCUGGGAGUGCCUGCCUGCCCGUCACUAAUGUGUUUAUCCUGGGGAAUUAAUGAGCAAACCAUUUACUACUGUGCUGAUACAGCCUUCGAGAAAGCUACACUUUUAUUCAUGACGCCGUUCCGGUUUUGAACAUCAGGAAGUAAAUAUCGUUAGACUUAUUUUUUGAUUCAAAGCAAGCACUGAAUACCAAGCGAUCGCUCAUGACGAAUGCCCCCGAUGAAAGCAGCUGGCAGGCUCUGCUUCAUCUGUGUGCUCACCAAUUGCUUCUCCAAGUUUUAUCUAAAAUGUCAAGUAACAGGCUUUUUUUCUUUUUUUUUAGUAAAUGGGUGCAUGCACCUGUGUUGCUCCCAGAACAACCCUCAAAAUGCGUGCACGGAUCAGGCCUCACCACUAGCACUAUGGAAGGUGGGAUACCAGGCCAGCUGACAGCUCCCCAAGCUUUUGAAGGUCGCUCCCCAUGUUUUUAAAAGCAUAUUCUCAAAUAAUUCUGCUCCGCGUGCUCUGCUUGUCAAGGAGAGGUUACUAACGCAUGCAGUUUGAAACGGUCCGUGUCAAGUCUGCAUCACAUUUCAGGCUGUACAUUUACUUGAAACUACAAGUAAAUCACAAGGGUGUGAAGCUGGGGAAAACAAAUCCACCCCUUUCGAUUUCUAAACACUACAUGAACCUGAAAAAUAGGGAAAAGCGGUGCGGCUGGAAUGCCAAAAAGCAGGUACAGCUCCAUUAGGGUUCAGCUCAGUCCAUCCCAGGUUAUUUUACAGCCUUUCAAAUUAACUCUCGCUCACUUUCUAAUGAAUCACACUCACAUUUUUAAUUUAUGUCUUCCUAUUUCUUUCCCACCCUGCCACUUGCACUUUCAAAGGGCACUAGCACUCACUUAUUUCCUCUCCUGAACUGAGUUUUCUUCGGAUGUCAGCUGUCGGACAGAAGUGUCCCCCUUCGUGUAGGGAAGAGGGCGGUGCCCUGGAUGGGUGACGGCAGCCUGCACCCCGGACGUCCCGCAGAAACCAUCCGGAAGGCGCAGGCAGGCUCCCACGCCGGCUCGGAGCCCAGCCUCGCGGAAAGCAGCGGACCCGGGUCCUGCCUCGCUGCUCCGCUCUGGGGGAGCAGUUUUGGUCUCCGCUCAGUGACGGCAGACCCCCAGACACCACGCAGCGCCGCGGCCCAGGGGCGGCAACCUCGGCGCCCAGGCCAGCGCCAGGAACGCCGGAAACAAGCCUCGGGGCCACGGCCACCGUCUCCGACCUCAGCCCGCAGAGCCGGAUCAGUACCCCCAGGCCCAUCCAGCCACCAAAGCGACAAGCAUUAGCAACCUGUUUGCCACGGGAAGCGUCUCUGAUACGUAUUCCCUGGGGCUGCUACUGCAAGAAGGGAGUAACGUUUGUGGGGCGUUUUGACCACGCAAACACCACUGAGAACGAAGCUCCACAAUCAGCUGAUCCUGCACAGUCCCUACUGUGACAUUUAUUUUAAAACUGUAGCAUUCAAUCACUUCAACUGAUAUUUAAAAGAAAAAACUGGGGUCAAACAUAUUUUUCAAGAAAAUCAUUGCAGUAGUACUGCUUUGCACUCAGAAUUAUUUAUGUGGGUUCCUGGACUGACUUCGGUAUAGCUUGAUUCAGGGAUCUGAGUAUCUGAAUGCUCAAAUAUCUGACAAGCUAAACCAAGCCGAUUUUAUUGAGAGAAAGCUCCAUCAGCAGAACAUCGUCCUCAUAGAAACAAUAACUGUACAAUAAACAUGUAACUAUCACUAUCUUCAUCCAAGGUCUGCUGGCUUUUCAUUUAGAGAAUAUGAUCAUCAAUCAAAAAAGAUAUUAAUUAACAUCAAGUAGCACAUUAAAAAGCAGCCUUUGUCACACGGAGAGACUCGGACUGGCAUCCAGGACUCCUGGCUUCUAAAACUAAACCCACACCUGACUGUUUCUCAAGGUAGAUAAAUCUCUAUAAUUUACCUUUCCCUCCCCAAAUAGGGGUAAACAGUUCUUACCCACCUCCCAGUGGGCCUGAGAAGAUUAAGAAUGGUAAAAUGCAUGGAAAAUGCAAAACUAGAGGUAUUAUUAUUAUUAUGCCGCCAGGCACAAACCCGCUAUGUUGGGGUGCCCCGUGCGAUGAUGGGGCAGCCCCCCCGUAAAGGGGCCACGUGUAAAGCCCCAGGGCAAAGCCACGGAGAGGGCUGUGGCCCCGGACGCCCCAACCGGACUCCGGAGAGAAGCCUAAUGGAAAAGCCGAGACCUUUCUAUGGGUAAACAGCACAGUAAUAAUGGCAUAUCCCAAAUCAUGAAAAAUAAAUCAGCGGGAUGAUUACCUGGAAGACGAGCUGAAGAUAAGAAUAAUUAAGGCCGAAAUGACGUGGGGGAGCAGGGACUGGCGCAUGGUAUUAGCUAAACUGCACUAAACCGGACACGAGUCCCAGCACCGGGGUGGCUGCGGCAUAAGAGUGAGCCAGUUUCAUUGUGUGAAGCAGUCUAGACUGAGGAAUGCUUGAAGACUCUGAAAUGAUACUGUUUCAUGCAUUAUGCAUUAAAAGUAUAAACUAUUGAUACAACACUGUCCCACAAGGCUGCGGUUAAAAAUUAAAGCAUUAACUUGGAGGUCAAAGUACAGAACGUAGCCAAAAAAGUACAGAAACCAGAACUCCUAGUGCAUAUUCGCACCAAAGAUGAAGGACAGGGAUCUGAUAAAGAAAGCACCUGAGAAGAGGUCCAUUUGCUGCAGGAGGAGGAAGUCGGCUCAGUCGUAGUGCUCCCCUGGACCAGGAAUGGUGCAGGAAUUUGUACAGGUCAGGUUCAGAUGAGGAGAGGAGAUCAGGGCUGGGCAAGCUGCUCAGCUGUCCCAGACUACCAGCAGCACCUGCUAAUCUCAGGUUGCUUACGAGUGACAAGGCGGCAGGUUCAGCCUCCCAUCCAUUCGUGUUUGGAAAGACCUGCUCUGUGCUUACAACUGAAGUUAACAGCGGGGAAAAUUGGGGUGCGCCUGCAUUUCUCCUCAAAACACCCUUUUGCAGACUGCAAAAAUAAACCCUGAGGGUUCCUUCUUUUAUUCAUAAUAAACGGCACCAUUUAAACUAAUGGUGUAAACCUGAUACCAUCUGAAAAUGGAGGAAAAUAAACUAAUAAACUAAUCAAUAAUUAACAGGAAAAGGAAAAGCUACGCCGCGGUCUCCAUACGGAUUCUAUAUGCAACGUAAAUCCAAAUGGCACACGUAAUGUUUUGAAAGGUUACAGAUGUCCCUUGCUGCUGCGUUUGUGGGGGACCGACUCCGUUGCUGAUUACGCGGUAGAACCGGUGAAGGCUUGGAUCCCCUUUCUCAGCCAGACGGCGGUGGUUUUACCGGAGCGCUGUGCAGUUGUUUUGCUCCGUAGCUACACCUUGCUGAGGAGCUUCACAGUAACCUGGAGGACCACAGAGAGACUCAGCAACACCCGCGGGGCUGGCAGAGCGGCCCAGGGACUGGCGACGGAGGCAGCAGUGCACUAAGAGAUGUGAGGGGGGUGGAACGAGCGACUCCGACCGGCAGCUCUCGCGUGGUGCUGGCACUACUGAGACUGCUGCUGCCCCCACUGAACCAUCUUGGGGGGGAAAAUACAAACAGUGUCGUUUUCUCAACAUUAUUUAGGACUGUGAAAUAGAGAAAGGCCAGAAACAUUUAAAUCAGAGCCAUCUUCUCUCUCAUAACAGAGUGUAACAGCAGCAAGAGAAAAAGCCUGCUGUGAGCUAACGAUCCAGUGUCCUCACCUGCGAUCUCAGUGCUUUUGGCCAUCUGUUAUUGGUACACUGCAAAACAUUCAGGUCUUUUUUUUCGGACAACACUGUAUUUUUAAUUUCACCUUUUUUAUUCUUCCGUUAAGAACAUAUGAUCUGGGCUCCUUGUGUCGGUCCUGUUUGCAUUCCUGUGCUCUUCUUGGAGCUUCCAGAGUUAACAGGAUUUUAGGGGAUAUCUGUGCAGCAACCUGGGGAGCUGGCCCUGAGCACCGGCACUGAAGAUGCAGGAGGAGGCAGCAGCACAAGCCAGCGGCCAGACCACGUAGCCCUAGGGCAGCUUUGUCUUCUGCAACACCCUUCUCUGAGCAGGUACAGUUUAUCUUUCCUCAGCACCGCAGACCACGCUACAUUUUGCCAGACUUCUGAAAGUUCAUGGCUGAAAUCCAGAUUUGGCACUUUGUACAUGCACAGAGCAAAAGCCCAGGACGUCAGGCGAGAAAAGCCACAGCAAGAAAUGUGGAGAUCCCCAUCCACACCAGCCCCCUGCUUUUUCUGGGUGCAACUCAAGGUGUUAAUCACGAUCUUCAGCUCCCCAGAACACCUGACAUCUCCCCAUAUGAAAGAUCCUUUUCUUUCUUUGAUGAAUGAAAUUAAGAUCUGUUGAUUCUGUCCUGCUGAAAGCUCCUGAAACAACUUCUCAGGGCAGGACAAUUUCAGAUCAUUCUAAGGCUCCUUUGUUUUCUUCACUUAGCUUAGAGAAUACCUGAAAUAACUCAAAUACUUACCGGAGCACCUAGCACAUUUCUGAGCGUUAUGUGAACAACAGCACCAAAAGGCACGCACUAACACAAAUAGCACAGCUUGGCUCCUGAAAUCUCAACCAUAUCCAAAAAAAAAAAAAAGAAAAAAAGCAUGGAGGGCAACAGAUCGGCUAAGGUU